rnacentral:rRNA from 1 species
UACGUAGGGUGCAAGCGUUGUCCGGAAUUAUUGGGCGUAAAGAGCUCGUAGGCGGUUUGUCGCGUCUGCUGUGAAAACCCGAGGCUCAACCUCGGGCCUGCAGUGGGUACGGGCAGACUAGAGUGCGGUAGGGGAGAUUGGAAUUCCCGGUGUAGCGGUGAAAUGCGUAGAUAUCGGGAGGAACAUCAGUGGCGAAGGCGGCUGCCUGGCCCAAUACUGACACUCAGGUGCGACAGCGUGGGGAGCAAACAGG